rnacentral:rRNA from 11 species
UUGUGUACCUAAAGAUCCUAAAAGCACCAGAUCCCAUCUGAUUUUGGAAACUAAGGAAGAUCAGCUCUAGUUAGUACUUGGAUGGAAGACUUUCAAUGAAUACCAGGAGCUGUCAGAU